UACAGAGGGGGCAAGCGUUGUUCGGAAUUACUGGGCGUAAAGCGCGCGUAGGCGGCCUGUUAAGUCGGACGUGAAAUCCCUCGGCUCAACCGGGGAACUGCGUCCGAUACUGGCGGGCUUGAAUUCGGGAGAGGGAUGUGGAAUUCCAGGUGUAGCGGUGAAAUGCGUAGAUAUCUGGAGGAACACCGGUGGCGAAGGCGGCAUCCUGGACCGACAUUGACGCUGAGGCGCGAAAGCCAGGGGAGCAAACGGG
rnacentral:rRNA from 1 species